CAUAAAUUUAUGUUAAAUGUACAUUGGAAUCAUCAUAAACAAUUUGCAAAAUUAUUGUAGCUAUUGUAAAAUAGUUUUACGCGUGUGUACAAAUUUUUCUAUACGCAUUUGUACAUAUAUAUAUUGAAUGCAAGUUUUAUAUGAAUAUAUAAAUAUUGCAGGAGAAUAUUAUUAUUAAUAUCAGUUUCUUGGGUCUUUGAACUUGCUCGUCCUCCCCAAUUCGUAGGUACAUGUGUACGCGAUAAAUGAAGGAAAACAGGGGUUGUUUGGUGUUGUAAUAGCAAGGUACGUGAUCAAAGCAAGAAGAUUUGUGCAAACAUGUUCCUCCUGUUUCCAUCCUCAAACUGGGUGGUUCAUUUUUUGCCGAGUCUGAGGACCUCGAAGAUUCGUGACCGAGCCACGUUUCACCUCUUACCCUUGUUCGGCCUGGCCUACCCUUUGAUAUACUUGGCCGUCCCCGAUAUCGCACCCCCCCCCCCCAGGGGCGUAGCCCCUCCACCUUGCCCUUGAUACCCUGAAUUCAAUGAAAUUUUAAUUCGAUGCACGCGUCCACCUUUCUCUGAUCCUAUACUUAUCCAUGAUCAUCGUUCAUUAUCUUCUUGACUGAUAGCUGACUUAUGCAAAUCUGCAUUUUCAUUUUUACACCUGUUCUCGUAGUCUUCUUUCAUCCGAACCCUGUGUUUUAUUUAAUUCUAAAAGUGUGCACAUGUGUGCUUAAUUGCUUUUGGGGGAUAACGAUCAUACUCGACGAAAAUAAAGUAUACUUGCUGUAAAAUUCAACUAAAUUGUAAAGAAUUGACAAGAUUCUCUAGUUGUUUUUUCGGAAAUUCUAAUGUAUAUUUUUGUAAAUAAAACAAACGAAAUUGAGUUAGUUCCAAAAAAUUAAGUGAAAGUUCCCGAUUCGCUAAGAUUUGGGAAAUGGUUUAUUAAAGUUUGUUUAGGCAAUUGGCAAUGUGCCAUUCAAGAGUAGUAUGUACUACACUGUGCUGUACGCGUGCGCAGACAGGGUGUGUGUUUCAACGGAGGUAGAACACUACCGAUUGUGGGCAGUCCGAUCACGACAGUGGCAAAGAACUUUUCGUUAAUAUAUGCACUCUAUCUAGUAAUUGUCAGAUCAUUGAAAUUGGUCUGCAAAGACAGAUGUUCCUGCAGCGACAUCCAAUUACCUCUGAGUUUUGGAUCUCCAAAGAAAAUCAAAAGAUCCUACUAAUUUUCCAUGGAUCCUCUAAAAUCUUCAAAACAUCUAGAAGAUUAUUGGAAGACUUUGGAACUCCUCAAGGAAGCAGAAGAUUUUCAAGAUUUCUUAAAGACCGUCAUAUUAAUGUCCUAGAUCGUCAGGACGAUCCACGGAUUCCUGGGAUAUUAAAGCUUACCCCAGGGACUUCGAAGAUUCUCAAGGACUAUCUAUGAGCUCUUAGCUGCCCGGAAUUGCCUAGGCACUUCGAGGACCUUCGAGAGCCACCAAGGGACACCAAGGAUCUCAAGGAUACUCUAUGGGCUUCGGCGGAUUUUUGAGGGUACGAGUAGAUUUUCGGGGCUCUAGUAUUUUGGGGAUGCAAACUCUUAUGAAAUCAUAAAAUCAAAAUGUCCAGAUCUUAUGCAACCUUCGAGAAAAUUGUUAGACCAACAGAAUAUUCGUGAAUAAUAAAAUCAAAAUGAUGAUACACGGUCUGGCAAAUUGAAGCCUUUAUAGAACGUAA